rnacentral:rRNA from 1 species
AACGAACGCUGGCGGCAGGCUUAACACAUGCAAGUCGAGCGCGUAGCAAUACGAGCGGCAGACGGGUGAGUAACGCGUGGGAACGUACCCUUUUCUACGGAAUAACCCAGGGAAACUUGGACUAAUACCGUAUACGCCCUUCGGGGGAAAGAUUUAUCGGAGAAGGAUCGGCCCGCGUUGGAUUAGCUAGUUGGUGGGGUAAAGGCCUACCAAGGCGACGAUCCAUAGCUGGUCUGAGAGGAUGAUCAGCCACAUUGGGACUGAGACACGGCCCAAUCUCCUACGGGAGGCAGCAGUGGGGAAUAUUGGACAAUGGGCGCAAGCCUGAUCCAGCCAUGCCGCGUGAGUGAUGAAGGCCUUAGGGUUGUAAAGCUCUUUCACCGGGGAAGAUAAUGACGGUACCCGGAGAAGAAGCCCCGGCUAACUUCGUGCCAGCAGCCGCGGUAA